rnacentral:rRNA from 1 species
UGAGGGUUGAUAGGUUAAGAGCUGAUUAACUGGACGUUACCCACAGAAGAAGCACCGGCUAACUCCGUGCCAGCAGCCGCGGUAAUACGGAGGGUGCGAGCGUUAAUCGGAAUUACUGGGCGUAAAGGGUGCGUAGGUUGUUGAAUAAGUUAUGUGUGAAAUACCCGGGCUUAACCUGGGUUGGUCAGAUAAGACUGUUCGACUCGAGUAUUGGAGAGGGUAGUGGAAUUUCCGGUGUAGCGGUGAAAUGCGUAGAGAUCGGAAGGAACACCAGUGGCGAAGGCGGCUACCUGGCCAGAUACUGACACUGAGGCACGAAAGCGUGGGGAGCAAACAGGAUUAGAUACCCUGGUAGUCUACGCUGUAAACGAUGUCAACUAGCCGUUGGUUAUAUGAAUAUAAUGAGUGGCGCAGCAAACGCGAUAAGUUGACC